rnacentral:rRNA from 1 species
UACGGGGGGAGCAAGCGUUGUUCGGAUUUACUGGGCGUAAAGGGCGCGUAGGCGGCCACCGCAAGUCGACUGUGAAAUCUCCGGGCUUAACCCGGAAAGGUCAGCCGAUACUGCGGGGCUAGAGUGCAGAAGGGGCAACUGGAAUUCUCGGUGUAGCGGUGAAAUGCGUAGAUAUCAAGUGGAACACCAGUGGCGAAGGCGAGUCCCUGGACAACUCCUGACACUGAGGCACGAAAGCUAGGGGAGCAAACAGG